rnacentral:rRNA from 1 species
GCGUGAGUGAAGAAGGCCUUAGGGUUGUAAAGCUCUUUCGCCCGCGAAGAUAAUGACGGUAGCGGGAGAAGAAGCCCCGGCUAACUCCGUGCCAGCAGCCGCGGUAAUACGGAGGGGGCUAGCGUUGUCCGGAGUUACUGGGCGUAAAGCGCGCGUAGGCGGCCUGUUAAGUUGGGUGUGAAAGCCCGGGGCUCAACCCCGGAUGCGCAUCCGAGACUGGCAGGCUAGAGUCCGGGAGAGGGCGGCGGAAUUCCCAGUGUAGAGGUGAAAUUCGU